UUGAAUUUGAGAGAGUAUUCUCUUGGAUUAUCCAGGUGGGCCCAAUGUCAUCAUAAGGGUCCUUGAAAGGGAAAGA